GACGAACGCUGGCGGCGUGCUUAACACAUGCAAGUCGAACGGUAAGGCCCUUCGGGGUACACGAGUGGCGAACGGGUGAGUAACACGUGGGUGAUCUGCCCUGCACUUCGGGAUAAGCCUGGGAAACUGGGUCUAAUACCGGAUAGGACUCCGGACUGCAUGGUCUGGGGUGGAAAGCUUUUGCGGUGUGGGAUGGGCGCGCGGCCUAUCAGCUUGUUGGUGGGGUGAUGGCCUACCAAGGCGACGCAGGGUAGCCGGCCUGGGAGGGUGACCGGCCACACUGGGACUGGGGUACGGCCCAGACUCCUACGGGAGGCAGCAGUGGGGAAUAUUGCACAAUGGGCGCAAGCCUGAUGCAGCGACGCCGCGUGAGGGAUGACGGCCUUCGGGUUGUAAACCUCUUUCAGCAUCGACGAAGCGAAAGUGACGGUAGGUGCAGAAGAAGGACCGGCCAACUACGUGCCAGCAGCCGCGGUAA
rnacentral:rRNA from 1 species